UACGAAGGGGGGCUAGCGUUGUUCGGAUUUACUGGGCGUAAAGCGCACGUAGGCGGAUCGUUAAGUCGGGGGUGAAAUCCUGGAGCUCAACUCCAGAACUGCCUUCGAUACUGGCGAUCUUGAGUCCGGAAGAGGUGAGUGGAACUCCUAGUGUAGAGGUGGAAUUCGUAGAUAUUAGGAAGAACACCAGUGGCGAAAGCGGCUCACUGGUCCGGUACUGACGCUGAGACGCGAAAGCGUGGGGAGCGAACAGG
rnacentral:rRNA from 1 species